UCCAACUUACAUUUUGUAUUGCAAACUCAGUUUUUAAAGUUAAUUCAACAAUUUAACAUUAAAAAAGUUGAGAUAACACAGAAAUGUAAGUUGAAUAGAAAUUAAGAUCAAUUUGUUACACCAAAUUAAUAUUUCAAGUUAGAACAACUAACAACUUUAAGUUGGUUAUUAGUUUUGCCAACAAAGGCUGAUGAGCAUGCGCAGUUCGAAUGCUUUAUUAUAAACAACGCCAUUUUAUUUUCUCCUGUUUCAUUUUCGAGUCCCCUUAAGCGGCUUCUGUUUAUUCCCUCAUUGUGAUCGCUCUGGUGGCAGCAAGUUAGUCAGUUAAAUUUUCCCGCCUGAUCUUAUUGUUGCCUCAGGUCAGACGUUGCCUAUUUUUUCUGCCUGACAGUGUAAGUUAAUCUCUCCGGUAGGUGCUGUUCUCUAUAUUAUAUUUACCAUAAGAGUUGAAAUAUGUUUGUUCAAAAUAUGUGCUUUUGUACGCCGUUUUAGAGUUGCCUCAGGCUGCGCCCUGUUAACGUUGGUCCGUCAUUGUUAUCACUCCGGUGGCGGCAAGCUAGUCAUUUCAGUUUUCCUGCUUCGUCUUCGAGUUGCCUGAGAAGGGUCAGACGAGAGCGACUUUUUUUUUUCUCGACAGUGCAAUCGCUCUGGCAGGUGAGAAUAAUUAACAAUAAGGUCUGAAUGGUAUUUGUUCACAAUAUGUGCUUCUGUACAGCUGCUUAGGUGGCUCCAAACUGGUCAGUUCAGUUUUCCUGCUUCAUCUUCGAGUUGCAUGAGAAGGGUCAGACGAGCGCG